CCAAUAGCGUAUAUUAAAGUUGUUGCAGUUAAAAAGCUCGUAGUUGAAUUUCGGGGUCAGUAGGUUGGUCAUGCCUCCGGUAUGCACUGGUCUCACUGAUUCCUCCUUCCUGAUGAGCCGUAAUGCCAUUAUUUUGGUGUUGCGGGGAAUCUGGACUGUUACUUUGAAAAAAAUUAGAGUGUUUAAAGCAAGCUAACGCUUGAAUACAUUAGCAUGGAAAAAUGGAAUAGGACGUUCGAUCCUAUUUUGUUGGUUUCUAGGAUUGACGUAAUGAUUAAUAGGGAUAGUUGGGGGCAUUAGUAUUCAAUUGUCAGAGGUGAAAUUCUUGGAUUUAUUGAAGACUAACUACUGCGAAAGCAUUUGCCAAGGAUGUUUUCAUUAAUCAAGAACGAAAGUUAGGGGAUCGAAGACGAUCAGAUACCGUCGUAGUCUUAACCAUAAACUAUGCCGACUAGGGAUCGGAUGAUGUUAAUUUUUUAAUGACUCAUUCGGCGCCUUACG
rnacentral:rRNA from 1 species